rnacentral:lncRNA from 1 species
CACCCCAGCCCCCUUCUCAGGCCUCGGCGGCCGAGCCCCUGCGCGGGGGCGUGGGCGGCCCCGUUCCCCGGCCCCCGUGGUGGGUUGAGCCGCCAUGUUCCCCCUUCCCCCGGCGGGGCGGGCGGCCCCGGGGGUCUCCCAGGCUGCCCCGGCAGCGCCGAGCUGGUGGGGGGGAGCUGGGGCUGGGAGCCAGAGCAGGGAACUGGGAUGGAGAACGGGGACUGGGUGUCAGGCCUGCGAGGAGGAACUGGGCCUGGGUGCCGGGACUGCGACAGGGAACCGGGACUGGGGACUGGGAUUGGGUGCCAGCGCCGGGAAGCGGAGCCGGGACCGUGGUGCUCACCGCGCAUGCGCGGGACCCUCCACCUGCUGCGCCGCCGCCGGCCGCCAGGUGCCGCCGCCACCGCCGCGGGGUGGGGCGCGUCGAGCGCGCUGACGUCACGCGCCAGCGAGGCUCCGCCUACAGCCAUGGCGGCGGCAGCGGAGGCAGAACCGGCUGCUCUUCUCCGCCCGGAGCCGCUUUCCGUGUCCCGCGGCGGCUGUGAGUCACGCCGCUUAGCCGCAGAGAGCCGAGAGGAUGAGACUGGAGUUUCCCCCUAGGUCUCACCUGGGAUGGCGUCCUGCAGGCAGCAGGUGCUUCUCCUCCACCUGGAAGAAGAGCGUGAGCAGAGGAGGAUGAGGAGGAAACCGUCUCGGAGGGUGGAUGCGGAGCGGCCGCCCGGACACGGAUACGCGCCCUCCGAAUGCGAGGCUCGCCUGGCCGCCUCUGCCCGCCCGGUGUUGCCCCAGCUGUUUAUGGAGAGGCCAAACUUGAGGAAAACCUCAGGAACUGAAAACCCUGGAAGCCCCGCUGGGUUGCUCCUCACUUCGGAGGUGAGGAUGUUUUACGGCCGUUUGGAGUCACGGGAAAUAAUAUGCUUAAAAACAGAGAAUUCCGCAACCGGGGAUGUUUGCGGACGCAGAGAUUGCCCCAUUUCCCGUUGCGUGCAGCGCCGCGGCUGCGACGAUGACCCUGGAGCACCAGUUGGAGGCCUUGAACUCGGGGUUCGGCCUCGCUGCGUGUUCCUGUGCCGUGGCUUCGCUGCGUGCCGAGGGAUGGGGGGCUCCCCGGCUCGGAUGCGCCACGGGAGCUGUCGCCUGCGCGCUCCUAACCUCUGGCUUGUUCCCUUCCAGCUCUCCUAGGCCUUGGCGAUGCCCAGUGUGGCCUCGGGCGGAGGAGGCUUGACCCUGCUGCGGAGAAGCCGUGUGCGCUGUGGAAGGGCAGCGGGAAGCGAUUCCCAGCCUUGGAGGUCUCCCGGCUCCGGGGACGGGCGCACCCGACACAGAGAUGCCCUCGGACGAUCCCGCUGCGGGCCGGUGCCCCGGUUACACCAGUAAAAGCCCCAGUGAGCAAAGGGGAACCCCGGAGAUUCCCGUGACCCGUUUCCUGCCCAGCCCAUCCGUCACAUUUUGGGAGGGACGGGAUUCGGGUGGGGGUUUCCUGGGUCCUCGGAGCACGGAUGCUCUUAGCUUAACGGUGCGGCUGCUCCACAGAUCACAGAGCCCCGAGGACCGAGAGGGGUGACUGGUGUGUUGCCGUUUUGGGGUACAGUCGGACACAUUUAAUGCUGUACAGUGCCUGAUGAAUAAAUACAAAUACAAAUUCCGGGUGUCUCCUUGG